UAUUUUUUCUCUCUCUUCAGCUGCUCAAAGCUAUUAUAUACAUUUUUUCUUUCAACUCCCACCAUACCUUAUUGGACCCAAAGGAGCACCUAUACUCACCUAUCCAGCCUGUGUGGGUUAUUCUUCACCUGGGUAACCAAACUCCACUGGACUAAGAGCCUCAGGAUAUUUUUUCUGCUCAAAGCUAUUAUAUACAUUUUUUCUUUCAACUCCCACCAUACCUUAUUGGACCCAAAGGAGCACCUAUACUCACCUAUCCAGCCUGUGUGGGUUAUUCUUCACCUGGGUAACCAAACUCCACUGGACUAAGAGCCUCAGGAUAUUUUUUCUGCUCAAAGCUAUUAUAUACAUUUUUUCUUUCAACUCCCACCAUACCUUAUUGGACCCAAAGGAGCACCUAUACUCACCUAUCCAGCCUGUGUGGGUUAUUCUUCACCUGGGUAACCAAACUCCACUGGACUAAGAGCCUCAGGAUAUUUUUUGUAUGUCUCCUAA